UACGAAGGGGACUAGCGUUGUUCGGAAUCACUGGGCGUAAAGCGCACGUAGGCGGAUGUGUCAGUCAGGGGUGAAAUCCCGGGGCUCAACCUCGGAACUGCCUUUGAUACAGCACGUCUCGAGUCCGGAAGAGGUGGGUGGAAUUCCUAGUGUAGAGGUGAAAUUCGUAGAUAUUAGGAAGAACACCGGUGGCGAAGGCGCCACGGUCCGGUACUGACGCUGAGGUGCGAAAGCGUGGGGAGCAAACAGG
rnacentral:rRNA from 1 species